UACGUAGGAUGCGAGCGUUGUCCGGAUUUAUUGGGCGUAAAGAGCGCGCAGGCGGUUAGGAAAGUUGGAUGUGAAAGACCCUGGCUUAACUAGGGGAGGUCAUUCAAAACUAUCUAGCUUGAGGGCAGCAGAGGAAAGUGGAAUUCCCGGUGUAGUGGUGAAAUGCGUAGAUAUCGGGAGGAACACCAGUGGCGAAGGCGGCUUUCUGGGCUGUCACUGACGCUGAGGCGCGAAAGCGUGGGUAGCGAACCGAAUUAGAUACU
rnacentral:rRNA from 1 species